GCUGAAAUGUCAUCUGAUGGUCCAAACCAAACUGUUGAAUAGGAUUUUUGCGUAAAAUUAACAGAGAGUAUGUGCAUAGCAUUGUUUCUAUGGCAAGCUCAUCCUCGUUACCCAUUCCUCUUGCUACUCAACAGAGAUGAGUACCACAGCCGGCCAACCAAGCCCCUGACUUGGUGGGGAAGUGAAGACCAGAUCCUGGGUGGGAGAGAUGAGCAGGCAGGUGGGACAUGGUUGGCUUGCACUAGAGAUGGUAAGAUUGCUUUUAUCACUAAUUUCAGGGAACUUAAAUCUACCCCUAGAGCCAAUAGCAGAGGAGACCUUCCUGUUCAUUUCUUGGAGGUAAUUCUUUUUUAUUACCUGCUUGUUUUCUUGGAAGUCUAUGUCAAUGGCUCUUUUGGAUUUUGUUUUGGAUGUUCCAAAUGUCCUUUGCUUUUCAUAGUCAGUUAGUUGUGGGAUCAUCUGUGGUUCUAAUACUUGUCGAUUCCUUUUUUGUAUUCACACUUUAAUUUGCGAAUGGGCAUACAUUAUCAAAAAAAUAGUGUGGAGGGAUAUGAUUUAGUUUACACAUUUGAGGUUAUGAGGAGUUGUAUGUUGGAAAAACGAUUUUGUUUGGCGAGAUUUGUGAAAUCAAGAAAAGGAAAAGAAAUAAGGUCUGGUUCACUUUUAUAAUAAAUAGUUUUUAUCGGAUUAUACAUACUAGGCACUGGAAAUGCAUGCACAUAAUUGUAAUCAUUAACUAGAUCUCUUAAGUCACUAAAUAUUUCUUUAAGCAAAAAGAGUAUCAUAAGCUUUAAUUCCCAGUUAUUCUCUUGUAUACAAAUAGAUUUAAUUCAAACAUAGAAAUAGUAUACAUGGGUUUUCAGCACCCUCUGAUUCUGUUUUGAUGGCUAUUUAGCCCUUUAUUUGAUGUUAAAAUGCGUUUCCUUUACUUUGGUUUGAUAAAAAUCCUACUCAUUUCAUCUUUCAAUGCCUUUCUCUAGCACCCUCAAAAUCUGCAUAUGAGUUGUGAUGAUUAUAGAAUAGAAGUGAAUUUAUAACACUAUCUUCGAAUCAUGAAAUGUGUGGUCUAGGUUUUUCAUUUCAGAAAAAGUCCAACAGGUCUAGUAAGACCUAUUUCUUUUGAUAUCCUUCAUGGUGACAGAACUCUAUGGUUACAGAGCAACAAGAAUCCUAAGGAGUUUGCCGAGGAUCUUGCAAAAGAGGCAGAAAAGUAUAGUGGAUUUAACCUAAUACUAACUGAUAUCUGUUCCAAAUCCAUGGUUUAUGUAACCAAUAGACCAAAAGCAGAAAACAAUUUUAUCACAGAUGUUGCACCUGGAAUGCAUGUGUUAUCAAAUGCAAGCCUAGACUCCCCGUGGCCUAAGGCUCAACGAUUGGGCCAUAAUUUUAAAGAUUUGUUAGAUAAAUAUGGUGAAAGAGAGCUUCCUGUGAAAGAGAUGGUUGAAAUACUAAUGACAAACACUGUUAAAGACGUUGAUGAGAGCAUGUUACCGAAAAUUUAUCCUGCUGAGUUUGAAUACCAGUUGAGUUCCAUAUUUGUUGAGACAGACACUCCAUUGGGACACUAUGGAACCAGAAGCACUUCCGUGUUGUCCAUAAAAUCAAGUGGGGAGGUUAACUUCUAUGAAAGGUUUCUUGAGAAUGAAAAGUGGCAAGAGCACACAGAGAGUUUCCAAAUAGAGAAGAUAGAGCACAUGGAAAAAAUUAGCUCUGCUUAAUCAUCCUUUUGAGUUUUGAGAAAGCAAGUGGCCUGUUCAUCUAAUCUACGAGUUCAGAUGAAAAAUAUUGCAAGUUGAUGUUUUUGCCUUUUUUUUUUCCUGAAAAUUAUGUAUAUCCAAAAUAGACCAUGCUCCAAAUAAAGGAAAUAAGCUUUUGUUUAUUCUUUCACUUUCUCUCAUUGUUGACAACAACAAAAUGGAUUGGACCUUUUAGAAAGAAGGGCUUAAUCUCAAUGUUGAAAAUUGGGAAAUUAGUGCCUACUUUUGGUUGUCUGGACAUUUUGUGAGCAACAUGUAUAUGCAUAAUUGCAUGUUGGUUAAAAGGAAAGAAUCGAAUUGUCUUUUGGAUAUGAUUCUUGGUUGGAGAAUCGGAAGAAUCAUUUGUUCUAGCUAUGCAAUUAUUCUCUUCUGGUGACUUGUGAACUGGUACUUUCAUAAACAAUGAUGGAUGUGGUUUUAGAGCUUGUAAGGGUAUGUUUGGUGGGGCAAAAUGCAGCUUCUCCUUAAAACUGCAUUCCUAAAGGCAUUUGGAG
rnacentral:misc_RNA from 1 species